GAUGAACGCUAGCUACAGGCUUAACACAUGCAAGUCGAGGGGAAACGAUAGAGAAAGCUUGCUUUUUCUAGGCGUCGACCGGCGCACGGGUGAGUAACGCGUAUCCAACCUGCCCACCACUUGGGGAUAACCUUGCGAAAGUAAGACUAAUACCCAAUGAUAUCUCAAGAAGACAUCUGAAUGAGAUUAAAGAUUUAUCGGUGAUGGAUGGGGAUGCGUCUGAUUAGCUUGUUGGCGGGGUAACGGCCCACCAAGGCGACGAUCAGUAGGGGUUCUGAGAGGAAGGUCCCCCACAUUGGAACUGAGACACGGUCCAAACUCCUACGGGAGGCAGCAGUGAGGAAUAUUGGUCAAUGGGCGAGAGCCUGAACCAGCCAAGUAGCGUGCAGGAUGACGGCCCUAUGGGUUGUAAACUGCUUUUAUAAGGGAAUAAAGUGAGUCUCCUGAGGCUCUUUGCAUGUACCUUAUGAAUAAGGACCGGCUAAUUCCGUGCCAGCCGCCGCAGUAA
rnacentral:rRNA from 1 species